AGCGAACGCUGGCGGCAGGCUUAACACAUGCAAGUCGAGCGGGCAUCCUUGUGGUGUCAGCGGCAGACGGGUGAGUAACGCGUGGGAACGUGCCCUUCGGUUCGCAAUAACCCAGGGAAACUUUAGCUAAUACCGGAUACGAUCGAGAGCAGAAAGGUUUAUCUGCCGAAGGAUCGGCCCGCGUCUGAUUAGCUGGUUGGUGAGGUGAUGGCUCACCAAGGCGACGAUCAGUAGCUGGUCUGAGAGGAUGAUCAGCUACACUGGGACUGAGACCCGGCCCCGAACCCUACGCAAGGCUGGAGUAGGGUAUAUUGGAGGAGGGGGGCAAACCUGACAACGCCGUGCCGGGGGAGAGAGGCCGGGCUUAGGGUUGUAAAGCUCUUUUUUCCGGGACGAUAAUGACGGUACCGGAGGAAUAAGCCCCGGCUAACUUCGUG
rnacentral:rRNA from 1 species